AAGACUAUACUUUCAGGGAUCAUUUCUGUAGUUGGUCACUAGAGGAGAGUGAUCUCACCUGAUCGGCGUCACAAGCCACGAGGAGGAGCGAGGUGCUGUCUCCUGAGCGCGAGGCGGGCGGGCGGCGCUGCUUGUGCAGGAGCCUCCCGCCAUCGAUGACCGUUCCCGGCGCCUGUGGUGCCGGGAGGGAGAGAGCACGGGCUGAGUGGU
ensembl:snoRNA U3 Small nucleolar RNA U3